rnacentral:piRNA from 2 species
UGGGAAUGUCAGCAGCCACAGCCCC